rnacentral:rRNA from 1 species
AUUGAACGCUGGCGGCAGGCCUAACACAUGCAAGUCGAGCGAGCGGCGGACGGGUGAGUAAUAUGUGGGAAACUGCCCGAUAGAGGGGGGUAACUAUUGGAAAAGCUAGCUAAUACCGCAUAUCACCAGAUGUGCCCAGAUGGGAUUAGCUAGAUGGUGGGGUAACGGCUCACCUAGGCGACGAUCCCUAGCUGGUCUGAGAGGAUGACAAGCCACACUGGAACUGAGACACGGUCCAGACUCCUACGGGAGGCAGCAGUGGGGAAUAUUGCACAAUGGGCGCAAGCCUGAUGCAGCCAUGCCGCGUGUGUGAAGAAGGCCUUCGGGUUGUAAAGCACUGUCAGCGGGGAGGCGUUACCCGCAGAAGAAGCACCGGCUAACUCCGUGCCAGCAGCCGCGGUAAUAC